CGAGAAAAUUCCAAUGUUUUAGUAUCAAAAAGAUUACUCCCUCUUACUCUCAGAAAACUGUAAAGAAGUGACCAAAUUACUAAUCCAGCCACAAGAGAUGGACCUGAAAGCAGACCUGUUAACAACAGUUCCAGCUCCCUUCCCCGCUAACAGUACAGAUGCCUCACUGUUGUGGGAGCUGUUGGAUCAGAUGUCCCUUUUCUUUCUCCCUCCACUUUUUCCAAGUCAAACUAGGUUUUUAAUAUUAUGAUGUGUCACAACAUAUCUCCUGCUUUUUCCAUCUCUAGUCUCAAUGCUGGACAUUGUAGCUUCAGGUUCAACCCCUGUUUUCUGCACAGAAGUAGAACAGAAGAAGCUGUUUUUACUUCCCCUUUUAAUCAGGCUGGGAAAGAACCACUGGCUUUUGGCACAAAGUGGUGGAGGCUGGGUGCAAGAGAAUUCUAGAGGUCAAGAAAUUCAUCUGACCCUACUUCAUUUUGCACAAGGAGGGAAAAAAAAAAAAAAAGA